GACGAACGCUGGCGGCGUGCUUAACACAUGCAAGUCGAGCGGGAUCCAACCGGUGGCAACACCGGGGAAGAUCUAGCGGCGAACGGGUGAGUAACACGUGAGCAACCUGCCCCGAAGACUGGGAUAACACCGGGAAACCGGUGCUAAUACCGGAUGUCGUCAUUAGGCCGCAUGACCUGAUGAUGAAAGGAUUCAUCGCUUCGGGAGGGGCUCGCGGGCUAUCAGCNGUUGGUGGGGUAACGGCCUACCAAGGCGACGACGGCUAGCUGGUCUGAGAGGACGACCAGCCACACUGGGACUGAGACACGGCCCAGACUCCUACGGAGGCAGCAGUGGGGAAUCUUGCGCAAUGGGCGAAAGCCUGACGCAGCAACGCCGCGUGGGGGAUGAAUGCCUUCGGGUUGU
rnacentral:rRNA from 1 species